rnacentral:rRNA from 1 species
AGUACGCUAUGUGAAUCAUCGAAUCUUUGAACGCACCUUGCACUUGCGGAGUCUAUCCGCAAGUAUACCUGUUUGAGUAUCAUAAACACAUCUCCACCUAUGUGGGAAUUGAGGUUCAUUUGCUAUAUGCAGGUGUUCCUUCAAAUGCAGUGAGGGACAGAGUAAUUUUUAAUAUUUUGCUCGAGUGAGGAUAUUUGCAUUCGUGCAAAAUAAUCACGAGUGGGCGACUUAAGAAAAACUAUUCGACAUUGUUCUUUUUGGUGGUUGAUGAGGUGGGGAGGUAACUUACUAGUAAGCUACUAACCUGCUAACAUAUAUAACCCAGUACAAAUGUGAUCUCAAAUCAGGCAAGAGUACCCGCCGAACUUAAGCAUAUCAAUAAGCGGAGG